rnacentral:rRNA from 1 species
GCCUGAUGCAGCGACGCCGCGUGAGGGAUGACGGCCUUCGGGUUGUAAACCUCUUUCAGCAGGGACGAAGCGCAAGUGACGGUACCUGUAGAAGAAGGACCGGCCAACUACGUGCCAGCAGCCGCGGUAAUACGUAGGGUCCGAGCGUUGUCCGGAAUUACUGGGCGUAAAGAGCUCGUAGGUGGUUUGUCGCGUUGUUCGUGAAAACUCACAGCUCAACUGUGGGCGUGCGGGCGAUACGGGCAGACUUGAGUACUGCAGGGGAGACUGGAAUUCCUGGUGUAGCGGUGGAAUGCGCAGAUAUCAGGAGGAACACCGGUGGCGAAGGCGGGUCUCUGGGCAGUAACUGACGCUGAGGAGCGAAAGCGUGGGGAGCGAACAGGAUUAGAUACCCUGGUAGUCCACGCCGUAAACGGUGGGUACUAGGUGUGGGUUUCCUUCCUUGGGAUCCGUGCCGUAGCUAACGCAUUAAGUACCCCGCCUGGGGAGUACGGCCGCAAGGCUAAAACUCAAAGAAAUUGACGGGGGCCCGCACAAGCGGCGGAGCAUGUGGAUUAAUUCGAUGCAACGCGAAGAACCUUACCUGGGUUUGACAUGCACAGGACGCUGGUAGAGAUAUCAGUUCCCUUGUGGC